rnacentral:rRNA from 1 species
UACGUAGGGACCACGCGUUGUUCGGAUUUACUGGGCGUAAAGGGCGCGUAGGCGGCUUGACAAGUCACUUGUGAAAUCUCCGGGCUUAACUCGGAACGGCCAAGUGAAACUGUCAUGCUAGAGUGCAGAAGGGGCAAUCGGAAUUCUUGGUGUAGCGGUGAAAUGCGUAGAUAUCAAGAGGAACACCUGAGGUGAAGACGGGUUGCUGGGCUGACACUGACGCUGAGGCGCGAAAGCCAGGGGAGCAAACGGG